UUAAGCAUGUAGGCUGGUUAUCCAGGCAAAUCCGGAUAAUCAAGGCUGAGGUGUGAUGACGAGGCACUACGGUGCUGAAGUAACAAAUGCCCUGCUUCCAGGAAAAGCCUCUAAGCAUCAGGUAACAUCAAAUCGUACCCCAAACCGACACAGGUGGUCAGGUAGAGAAUACCAAGGCGCUUGAGAGAACUCGGGUGAAGGAACUAGGCAAAAUGGUGCCGUAACUUCGGGAGAAGGCACGCUGGUGUGUAGGUGAAGCCCCUGCGGGUGGAGCUGAGACCAGUCGAAGAUACCAGCUGGCUGCAACUGUUUAUUAAAAACACAGCACUGUGCAAACACGAAAGUGGACGUAUACGGUGUGACGCCUGCCCGGUGCCGGAAGGUUAAUUGAUGGGGUUAUCCGUAAGGAGAAGCUCUUGAUCGAAGCCCCGGUAAACGGCGGCCGUAACUAUAACGGUCCUAAGGUAGCGAAAUUCCUUGUCGGGUAAGUUCCGACCUGCACGAAUGGCGUAAUGAUGGCCAGGCUGUCUCCACCCGAGACUCAGUGAAAUUGAACUCGCUGUGAAGAUGCAGUGUACCCGCGGCAAGACGGAAAGACCCCGUGAACCUUUACUAUAGCUUGACACUGAACAUUGAGCCUUGAUGUGUAGGAUAGGUGGGAGGCUUUGAAGCGUGGACGCCAGUCUGCGUGGAGCCAACCUUGAAAUACCACCCUUUAAUGUUUGAUGUUCUAACGUUGGCCCCUGACCGGGGUUGCGGACAGUGUCUGGUGGGUAGUUUGACUGGGGCGGUCUCCUCCCAAAGCGUAACGGAGGAGCACGAAGGUUAGCUAAUCCUGGUCGGACAUCAGGAGGUUAGUGCAAUGGCAUAAGCUAGCUUGACUGCGAGCGUGACGGCGCGAGCAGGUGCGAAAGCAGGUCAUAGUGAUCCGGUGGUUCUGAAUGGAAGGGCCAUCGCUCAACGGAUAAAAGGUACUCCGGGGAUAACAGGCUGAUACCGCCCAAGAGUUCAUAUCGACGGCGGUGUUUGGCACCUCGAUGUCGGCUCAUCACAUCCUGGGGCUGAAGUAGGUCCCAAGGGUAUGGCUGUUCGCCAUUUAAAGUGGUACGCGAGCUGGGUUUAGAACGUCGUGAGACAGUUCGGUCCCUAUCUGCCGUGGGCGCUGGAGAAUUGAGGGGGGCUGCUCCUAGUACGAGAGGACCGGAGUGGACGCAUCACUGGUGUUCGGGUUGUCAUGCCAAUGGCACUGCCCGGUAGCUAAAUGCGGAAGAGAUAAGUGCUGAAAGCAUCUAAGCACGAAACUUGCCCCGAGAUGAGUUCUCCCUGAGACUUUAAGUCUCCUGAAGGAACGUUGAAGACGACGACGUUGAUAGGCCGGGUGUGUAAGCGCAGCGAUGCGUUGAGCUAACCGGUACUAAUGAACCGUGAGGCUUAACCUUACAACGCCGAAG
rnacentral:rRNA from 1 species